CGGGGAAUUUUGGACAAUGGGCGAAAGCCUGAUCCAGCAAUGCCGCGUGUGUGAAGAAGGCCUUCGGGUUGUAAAGCACUUUUGUCCGGAAAGAAAUCCUUGGCUCUAAUACAGUCGGGGGAUGACGGUACCGGAAGAAUAAGCACCGGCUAACUACGUGCCAGCAGCCGCGGUAAUACGUAGGGUGCAAGCGUUAAUCGGAAUUACUGGGCGUAAAGCGUGCGCAGGCGGUUUGCUAAGACCGAUGUGAAAUCCCCGGGCUCAACCUGGGAACUGCAUUGGUGACUGGCAGGCUAGAGUAUGGCAGAGGGGGGUAGAAUUCCACGUGUAGCAGUGAAAUGCGUAGAGAUGUGGAGGAAUACCGAUGGCGAAGGCAGCCCCCCUGGGGCCAAUACUGACGCUCAUGCACGAAAGCGUGGGGAGCAAACAGGAUUAGAUACCCUGGUAGUCCACGCCCUAAACGAUGUCAACUAGUUGUUGGGGAUUCAUUUCCUUAGUAACGUAGCUAACGCGUGAAGUUGACCGCCUGGGGAGUACGGUCGCAAGAUUAAAACUUAAAUGAAUUGACGGGGU
rnacentral:rRNA from 1 species